CAUGUGGUUUAAUUCGAAGCAACGCGAAGAACCUUACCAGGUCUUGACAUCCCGAUGCUAUUUCUAGAGAUAGAAAGUUACUUCGGUACAUCGGUGACAGGUGGUGCAUGGUUGUCGUCAGCUCGUGUCGUGAGAUGUUGGGUUAAGUCCCGCAACGAGCGCAACCCCUAUUGUUAGUUGCCAUCAUUCAGUUGGGCACUCUAGCGAGACUGCCGGUAAUAAACCGGAGGAAGGUGGGGAUGACGUCAAAUCAUCAUGCCCCUUAUGACCUGGGCUACACACGUGCUACAAUGGUUGGUACAACGAGUUGCGAGUCGGUGACGGCGAGCUAAUCUCUUAAAGCCAAUCUCAGUUCGGAUUGUAGGCUGCAACUCGCCUACAUGAAGUCGGAAUCGCUAGUAAUCGCGGAUCAGCACGCCGCGGUGAAUACGUUCCCGGGCCUU
rnacentral:rRNA from 1 species